rnacentral:rRNA from 1 species
UGUAAGCGAAGCUAUAUGUGGAGCGGUGAAAGGCUCAGUAACGGGCGAUUUAUUUAAUCUCCUGGGACGGACAACAUCGGGAAACUGAUGGGAAAACGUCUAAGUUGCAUUAAUUUUAGUGUGACGUAAACGGAAAUCGUGCAGGAGAGUAAGAUGCCAUCCUAUCAGUUAGUAAGUAGGGUAAGGGCCUACUUAGACGAAGACGGGUACGGGGAAUGAGGGUUUGAUUCCGGAGAGGGAGCCUGAGAGAUGGCUACCAGGACCAAGGUCAGCAGCAGGCGCGAAAAUUAUCGAAGCCCGCCUAGGGGCGAUAGUGAGGAGACGUGUAUAACGAAGUACGUGUAAAGAACGUACUAAUAACUGGAGGUCAAGUCUGGUGCCAGCAUCCGCGGUAAUUCCAGCUCCAGGGGUGUCUAUGAUGAUUGCUGCGAUUAAAAAGUCCGUAGUCAAGCUGACUGACUGACCUGCAAUGUGAUUGAUUAAGGAACGAGCAGGGUUAGGAAAGCAGAGAAUUAGGAGCGACCGAGGGCUAGAGUAUUGAAUGGCGAGAGGUGAAAUUUGAUGACCCAUUCAGGAGUGACAAAGGCGAAGGCACUAGUCAAGGGCGAAUCCGAUGAUCAAGGACGUAGGCUAGAGUUUCGAAAACGAUUAGAGACCGGAGUAGUUCUAGCAGUAAACUAUGCCGACGCCGUGAUAUGGUUUUUUGUGGCUGUAUUGCGGAAGAGAAAUCAAGUAAGGCUUUGGGGAGAGUACGCGCGCAAGCGAUAAAUUUAAAGGAAAUUGACGGAGGAACACCACAAGGAGUGGAGUGUGCGG